GGCCCAAUCGUUUCUACAAGUCGGAGCAUUUCAGUCAUUUCGAAAACUAGGGAUAGGGCUUCUCCUCCCAUUUUAUAUUAGAUUUGCCGCACCUUCAUUUUGCUUAGACUCGAUCAUCACAUACACACACAGCAGAAAUGGGAGGCCGAUGGUUCUGCGACUGCGAGAGGACGUCACCUGGAUGAAGAAGCCAAGUUUAAGAACUGCGAUCCAUUUCUGUGGAAUUUACAAGGUAUUGAGGGGAUCAGAAGCUUUUAUUCUCUGCGUUAGGAAUGGAAGGUGUGGGAAAGAUAAUCGGAGCGGUCCUUUGGGGUCCUGCUCCUCUCGUUUUUACUGCUCAUCAAUUUUCGUCACUCUCUUGUUGACUUAACUGGGUAAUUGCAGCUCUCUGGUUGCCUCUGCCAAUAAAACAGAAAUAUAGCAUUCUCAGCAACCAUCAAGUCUGGAGGCAAUUUUGUGAUGGAAAAAGUAAGAGAACUAUUUAUAUCAAUUUGAGUACGGAACUAGUGUUCAUGUCUGCAAAAGAUACCCUACUCCACAUAUCAGUAUGUAUAUGAUGUUUGGGAUAUUGAAAGCAAUCACUUCUCAGUCCUAGGUUCUGCAAAUGAGUGUUGGUUUUAUUGUCUAGUCACCUAGUGUCUUCUUUUCUGGUGAUUGAAUGUGUUUCAUCUUCAAAGAAUGCAUUUCAAUUUUGCUUUACUGUCUUCUUCAUUUCGGCCAUCUUAACUUACUAAAAUCCAUAGAUUUGAAACUUGAAAGUCCCCAUUUUCAACUUGGGGUUAUUUGAAGCAUCAAGCAUGACCCUCCUCAAACAUCUCACCCUUCCCUUUAUAAAAGAAAGAGUAAAACAACUCUAGCAAACAACAGAAACAUACAAGGUUAAUUUAGAUAGAGACACUGUUGGGAAUUCCUUUGCCAGAAAGUCCAACUUCCGCCAGUAGGAAACAACAAAUUGUAAGGCAUCUUCACUGGUCCGACUUGGUUCUUCAGUCCUUCAUCAUUGUUCAUGCUGACAAUUCCAUCCUCAAUUUCAGCUAGCUUCUUUCCAAAUCUCUCAAAGGCUUCCAGCACUUUCGCUUCUGAUGUCCACUCUGGAGUGUCUCUCUGCCCAAGAUACACUUAAUUACUAGUAUGCCUAGACAGAAUUUCUAUGAGGGAAAUGCCGAGCACAGUCUGCAGAUGAGCAGUAAUUGUUCUCAAGAAUGCCUUAUAAGGGUUGGACUCAAGCUCAUCAUAUUCAGCAGUUCCCUUUUCGGGCAUGAAUAUUCGGCUUCCAGUUGGUCGGUUUGGAAGGUAUCCAGCAAAAGGGUACUGUCCAAAGUUAACCGCUACAUGCAGAGCAGAAGCAGUCCAAAUGAUGAUAGUACAUGUUUCGAUUAGCUCUUCGCGAGUCUGCAUUUUGGGCCACCAGGGCUAAUUUUUUUUUUGUCACCGUGACCCUCCUCUACUAGUUCCUUCCACCAGGAUUGGAGUUCAGUGUCUUUUUGAACCGUCUCAUCAGUAUUGUAGUAGAUGGUACAACAGUCCUAAACCCAAGUUUUUAUUGCAGACCAGAUUUGAAGGCCAUCAACAGCAAAUGGAUAGUCCUCUAUCAGUAGGCGAACACCAUGCUCAGAAUUUUCAUCCUUCACUGCCACUCCUCUGCAUAAUUUUUGUCAGCACAUACAAAUGUCAUUGAAAUGUAUAGACUUAAUGUGAAGACAAUACUAAUCACAACUAGUGUUUAAUUACCUUUUUAGGAGGUCUCUUGGUAGAGCUUGGUCAGGGAAAACCCAAUUCUUAUAAACAACUGAGGACAACUCCAUGGCAUACUUGGCUGGAAAAACCGUUGUCUCCAGAAUGCCGCCGGCAUUGAUGAGGAUUUGCCUGCCUUGUGCAUUGAUAUUCAUUGUGUUGAGGAAGUGUGGAUGCAGAAGUUUGUAGAUUGGGUGAAGCACGCUUAGCUGCCUGUUGGUAGCUAUUACAAAUGGCUGAAUCACCGCAUGAGUAUUCAACCUGUGGCCAAAAAAUGAUCAAGUCAUUUACGGCAACAUAAGCUUUGGCUAGCUGCCAUAUGGUGCUUUCUACACCUUCUUCAGCGGGUGUAUAUACAUUACUAAUUCAACCAAACUGAUCUCCAUCAGGAUGUGGCAAGCUUAGUUCAAUUAGCAAUGGCUUCAAAGUUCCAUCACUUUUCAAGAAAAGGAGCGUCCUGCUCCCAUAGAUCUUGUUGCUGGUUGAGUUUAUCCGCCUCAGGUACGGCAUAAAGGCAUCAUGAUGAUCUAAUAUGAAUAGCUUCUUGUUCUCGAUUGCCUAUCAUUUUCAUUAAUUUGAAAUGUUAUCAAGUCAAAAUAAUAAGGUAAUCGUCUAAUGAUUAAUUUAAGGGAGGAAAUAAUUUGAAAGUAUUAGUAUUACUAUUACCUCAUCUAUUGAAAGCCCUUCCAAGUUAUCCUUUAUGUGCUAUUCUGUUAUUGUACUGGUUUGAUCACCGUAAACUGUUGGAUCCAGCUGGCUUGCUGGUGGAAAUUUCUACAGU
rnacentral:lncRNA from 1 species